GGGAUGGUAGCUUGAGUUUCUGUUUGAUUUGCUAAUGCAAUUGUAAGGAAUAGCAUCACUUUGAACUUUCUAAGGUAGUUUCUAAGAGGAGGGAGUUGCUAUGGUUCUUAGGGGAGUAAAACUUUUCUUAACUGUGGGGUGGGAGCUGUUGCUGGGUCUAAAUCUAGAGAGCAGGAACCAUGGCCAACUUCUCCCAGUAUUUUACCUCAAUCUCAUGUUAGCUGAGAGAAGAUGACUGAUGCCAACCUCACUUCAGAUUGCUGAAGGGACAAUAUGAUUCUUGGGAGACACCAACAUGAGAGGAACUGAGUCUAUCAUGCCCCUAUCUCUAGUUUGCUACACUACAGACAGGGGGAUUUCCCCUUGAGUGAGACCUAAGACUCUCUCUCUCUGUCUCUCUUUCUAUGUUCCCAAAGAGAGAACUCUUUUCCCCUCUACCAUCUUGUAAAGAUUUCUUGAUCUCUGAUUUCUAUCUCGCAAUUGACUUGGAUAAAUGAUUUUGUUCACUA